CCUACGGGAGGCUGCAGUAGGGAAUCUUCCGCAAUGGACGAAAGUCUGACGGAGCAACGCCGCGUGAGUGAAGAAGGUUUUCGGAUCGUAAAACUCUGUUGUUAGGGAAGAACAAGUGCCGUUCGAAUAGGGCGGCGCCUUGACGGUACCUAACCAGAAAGCCACGGCUAACUACGUGCCAGCAGCCGCGGUAAUACGUAGGUGGCAAGUGUUGUCCGGAAUUAUUGGGCGUAAAGCGCGCGCAGGUGGUUUCUUAAGUCUGAUGUGAAAGCCCACGGCUCAACCGUGGAGGGUCAUUGGAAACUGGGGAACUUGAGUGCAGAAGAGGAAAGUGGAAUUCCAAGUGUAGCGGUGAAAUGCGUAGAUAUUUGGAGGAAUACCAGUGGCGAAGGCGACUUUCUGGUCUGUAACUGACACUGAGGCGCGAAAGCGUGGGGAGC
rnacentral:rRNA from 1 species